CCCUCUACUUUGAGCCCUUGGGGCUAUAAUAAAGAAAGAUCAAAGAGUAGUAUCUGUUCUCAUCAGCUUAAUAUCUGAUAUGGUACUAUCGAUAUUAAACUGAUUUUUAAAACAAAGCGAAGAGUUAGGGGCUUGCUCCGCUUUUGCCACGGGAUUGCCUGAUAUUGCAGUGCUUCCAGGAUACACCCCAUCUCUC